GUAGGGUGCGAGCGUUAAUCGGAAUUACUGGGCGUAAAGUGUGCGCAGGCGGCUAAGCAAGUCGAGUGUGAAAGCCCCGGGCUUAACUUGGGAAUUGCGCUCGAAACUACUUGGCUGGAGUGUGGCAGAGGAGGGUGGAAUUCCACGUGUAGCGGUGAAAUGCGUAGAGAUGUGGAGGAACACCAAUGGCGAAGGCAGCCCUCUGGGCCAACACUGACGCUCAUGCACGAAAGCGUGGGGAGCAAACAGGAUUAGAUACCCUGGUAGUCCACGCCCUAAACGAUGACGACUAGUUGUUGGAGGAGUUAAAUCCUUUAGUAACGCAGCUAACGCGCGAAGUCGUCCGCCUGGGGAGUACGGUCGCAAGAUUA
rnacentral:rRNA from 1 species